rnacentral:lncRNA from 1 species
GAUUUUUGAUACUCUUGAAUGAAGUGUUUAAUUUAAUUCAAAUGCUGAAUAAAUUAUAGAAUUUAGUCUAAAUGUUGGAAUUAUAUUGAAUAGAAUGUUAUCAAAUUAUAUAAAUAGUUUUUUUAGCAUUUUAUAUAUAAUUUCUUAUGACUUGAUGACCCAUCUAAACUAUCUUACUCAUAAUUGUUUGGGUUGGUUUGAGUUUGACAGAAAAAUUAUGGAUUUCUUGCUUAUUUGAACN